rnacentral:piRNA from 1 species
UAGAGGGGUUCGAUUCUCUUUGUUUGGUGAC